rnacentral:rRNA from 1 species
UUUUAAAUGGCCGCAGUAUUUUGACUGUGCAAAGGUAGCAUAAUCAUUAGUUUUUUAAUUAAAAGCUUGUAUGAAAGGCUGGACGAGGUAAAAUCUGUCUCUAUUUAAAUUAUUGUAGAAUUUAACUUUUAAGUUAAAAGGCUUAAAUAUUAUUAAAAGACGAGAAGACCCUAUAGAUCUUUAUAGUUUAUUAAAUUAAAUUAAUUUAGAAAUAUUAAUAUUUUAUUUAAUUAAGUUAUUUUAUUGGGGUAAUAAAAAGAUUGAAUUAAUUCUUUUUUAUAAUAAACAUUAAUUUAUGAAUAUUAAUGAUCCAGUUUUACUGAUUAUAAGAUUAAGUUACCUUAGGGAUAACAGCGUAAUUUUUUUAGAGAGUUCAUAUCGAUAAAAAAGUUUGCGACCUCGAUGUUGGAUUAAAGAUUAUUUUAGGUGUAGAAGCUUAAUAAUUUUGGUCUGUUCGACCAUUAAAUCUUUACAUGAUCUGAGUUCAGACCGGCGUAAGCCAGGUCGGUUUCUAUCUUUAAUAAAAUAAAAUAUUUUAGUACGAAAGGACCAAAUAUUUGAUAUAUUUAUAUUUAAUUUAUUGAAUAUUA